rnacentral:rRNA from 1 species
GACGAACUGUCCAAACGUUGUUCGGAAUCACUGGGCUUAAAGGGCGCGUAGGCGGUCCAUCAAGUCAGGGGUGAAAUCCUGCAGCUUAACUGUAGAAGUGCCUCUGAUACUGAUGGUCUUGAGGGAGGUAGGGGUGUGCGGAACUUCCAGUGGAGCGGUGAAAUGCGUUGAUAUUGGAAGGAACGCCGGUGGCGAAAGCGGCGCACUGGACCUCUUCUGACGCUGAGGCGCGAAAGCUAGGGGAGCAAACGGG